UUCUCCCCGCCUUAUCUAUGCAUGCAGAAGUCUUUAAAAUUUAUGGGGAUCAAAUACUUAAAAAAAAAAAAAAAAAGAUCUAGAAAUGUCACCAAUCUUCAACUUUCAUUACCUUUGAAUCAAAGGUAUAAGAAAUUGGAACCCUAAGGCAAAGCAAUGAAAGCUUAAUUGCUCUAGAAAUAUACAUCCUAUUGUAUUUUCAAUUUGGCUCUAAGAAAUUCAGGCAAUCUCAAGUACUCAGGGAAUUGAGAAAUAGAAUUCUCUUUAAAGAAGGAUGAAGAAACACUUAGCUUAAUUAUUUCUUUACUUUUCAGCUUGUCGUUAUUAGAAGUGGUGUUUGGGAAUUUGGUCAGUCCUUCUCCAGAAGACAAUGUUUUGCUUCCCCAAAGCAUCAUUGUCAUCCUCAUCAACAACAAAUAAUAAUAUAACAAUUACCAAGAUGGAUAUAGAUAUCACUGCAUGUCAAAAGCUGGUCUAAGUUGAUAUAAAACUGCCAUGGACACAGGGGUGGCCGAGUGGCCAGCUGUGUCCUGAAAUGCCUGAAGCCAUCACAAUCAGCGCUCCACUGUCUGAGGCUCUCAAAAUGAAACACUUUGAACACUCAUUCAAAGAGGAUACACUGUGUCACACUACUCACAGAAGAAAGCAUACUACUCACAGGCUGCAAGUGGUGCCUCUUGUUUGGUUUUUACCAUCAUUACCCAUUCUUGCUCCUUUAUAUACCGCCACCAGAGAAGAAAUGCAACAAUUCUGUUGCAGCUAAUGAGGAUUGCUUUGUUUGUAACUGUUCUGGUAUAAUUGUAG
rnacentral:lncRNA from 1 species